ACACCCACUGGCCUCACCUGUGACUCAAUACAUUAUGUGGUUUUAGUAUUUUCUCCUUGUGUGGAAACAUGCAGAGUAUACUUCUGUUUGCUGUCUUUUAUUGGCACUUUUAUUUUCAGACCUUGUGUGGUUCUUGCGGAUCACAUCAUUGUGCUUUGAAGACGCUGCCCAGUGUCUUUAUCUUCCGUCUGAACCGGAUUGGUGAAGACGAAAAGGGCGCGCGAGUGAAGUUGAAUCAUCCUGUGGUUCUUUGCAGAGAACUGGAUCUUUCCGGUUUCCUGCCUGCCACACAGUUUCAGGAGACAUUCCGGUACAAGCUGGUGAGUGUCAUCAGCCAUGUCGGGUCAAGAACUGACGAGGGUCAUUUUGUAAGUGAAAGACUUCUGAUGGCGGCAGGCGUCACUUGAGACGGCUGGCUCACCUACAAUGACGAAAUUGUGAAAAUGUCUGACGACUCUGAAGAUCUACAGCGGCCACAGUCUGCAUCCAUCCUCUUCUACGAACGCCAGG